rnacentral:rRNA from 1 species
UACGUAGGGGGCUAGCGUCGUCCGGAAUCAUUGGGCGUAAAGCGCGUGUAGGCGGUCCGGUAAGUCCGCUGUGAAAGUCGAGGGCUCAACCCUCGAAUGCCGGUGGAUACUGUCGGGCUAGAGUACGGAAGAGGCGAGUGGAAUUCCUGGUGUAGCGGUGAAAUGCGCAGAUAUCAGGAGGAACACCAGUGGCAAAGGCGACACGCUGGGCCGUACCUGACACUGAUGCGCGACAGCAUGGGGAGCAAACAGG